UAUAAUUGCAUUUUAGGUUUAGGGUCUAUUUCACAAAAGCUGAAUUUACAAAUCCAGGAUAACCGAUAAUGCAAGGCUUGACUAGU